UCUUGACCCAGAGCUAUUCCUGUCCUGAGCUGACUGCUCCUACCUGGAGAGACCCCCCUGCCUCCUUCCCUGCGGGGCACGACCCCUGGGUCUAUCCUGGAACUGCUGCAGCACCUCCGGCUGCAACAACCUCCUGCCAGACCACCUGCCUCCACCCGUGCACAACCCAGCCCGCUGGCUCUAUCCCAGGAAUGCUGCUGCGUGUCUCGGCCUGCACCUCCAAAUCCUUGUGUGUAGGCAGGGACCAAGGGAGACAGCGCAGGGCAGACAAACCUGACAUAACCGUGGUGUGAUCAGCAGCCCGAAGACCCCAACAAUGACAGGGCCCUGCAUUCCAAAACCAGAGGUGACUCUCCAGGCUCACACAGAAGUUUCCAGAACAAAACCCAGGCUGGUGAGUCCUGCUGAUGAGAAGACAGGCUCUAGGCUCCAGACCCUAGGGAGCUGUGUGUCCUUGGACACCUCCUCAUUGGUGCAGCCGGCUUACCACCAGGACCCAGCCCAGCCGGGGGUCGUGAGCAGCCAACGAGACAAUCCAUUCCAAGUUCUCAUCCUGUGCCUGAAACAGGCAUGACAACCUUAGCUCGAAGAUACAGCCUGUCAGAAAUAGCUGGCCCCAUGGGGAAGGGCACAUCCAGUGACAAGUGUCACCAUGGAGGGGUGGGAGAAAGACAAGCUUAUUCGUGGGAACUCACAGAGCUGCGCCCGGCUGUGUGGGAGUUGAGGUCAGGGGAGGGGGGGACCGCUGUUCAGAGCCCCUGUUCGUGCCGGGGCGGGGAUCCUGUGUGCCGGGAAAGGAAAAGAAAAGAAAGGAAGUGACAAUCUCGCUGUGUGUGCGUCUAUCAUUCUGGGGGCUCAAUAGAGAUGCUAAGAAUCCUCCAGACCAGGCUCCAUCAUUAAAUGAAGGGAAAAAAAGCUUAUUACUAGGGGAGAUGGAUGCUCUGGGAAACCAGUGCUUUUAGGACAAAGAGAAGCAGCCUGACACCUUGUGAGGUGGGGGAGGCCUGUUUCCUUCAUGACUGGUUACAGGCCUUGGGGCCUUUUGUGUUCUUUCAUUGUCUUCUUGUCCCAUUUUCUCCCCCCAGGCCCCAAGCUGAACUCAGGGCGGGGGUGAGGGCAGCGAGGGAUGUCUGUGAACAAACCCUUGAUAGGAGGUGAUGGGAGAGGGAGGAUUUCCUGGCAGGAAAAUAUGCACCGUCUCUAUUCAAAGGGCUUUAUUUCCUAACUCGGCAGAGGCAAGUCUGUACAAUCUCAUCACAACCUCAACCUAACACGUGUCAAAGCCUCAGGGGGUGCAGGGGGCAUGGAAGGAGCUCUUAGGUCUAGCUGGCUCAAAUUAAACAAAUAGAGUUCAAAUUAAAGUCGCUGGCUGUGUUGCCUUGGGGACAUCACUUGACCUCCCUGGGCCUCUGUUUCCUCAUCUGUAAAAUGGGGUCAAGAUACUUACUCUUACAGCAUUGCUGUGAUUCAUUAGACGGGGUGGUGCAGCACAAGCCCUCAGAGAAAGGACACUGUCCACAUGGAUGCCACUGUCACCACCACUUACACGAUGUCAGGAGAGCGACGACGGAAACCAACAUAACAUCAAAAUGUUCCCUGGUUUAGAAUCACAGCCGCAUUCAGGCAUCGCACAGACUGCCUGUUUCACGAUCCUGAGAGCAACGGCAGCCGUUGCUCAAUUUAUUUUGUAAGCUCCCUGUCCUUUUUGAGAAAACACUUAUUUCCUGGGCCGAAAACCUCCGGAGUCCCCAUCUCUUUUGAAUCACAGAGCAGUAUCAUUGACAGACAAAUUCUCCAUGAAAAAUGCCUGCUGCCUCCCCCACCCCACCACCAGCAACCAGCUUCCAAGUCCGCCUUCUUUCUCAACGGCGAUCCCCAAGGCACAUAUGACCCAGAAAGGAAAGCAAUUGCUAUUGCUCCAGCUCGGGUUUCCCCGGGUGUUUUAGACCCACAAAUUUGUGUUGCCAUGUGCCUGUAUUCCCAGAGCUGUGGAUUACUUUAAGAACAAUUGAGAAAGCAAAGAGGUGUGAGAAUGAAAAUCCAUGUAUAGAAUAUAGACAAGGACUAGGACCCAGAAAAGCGAAAACACAACCUCCCGAAGUGGUGGGCGGAGCUGUUCUGCAAACCCUGAUGGAAUCCCCACUGUGUGGCAGGGGCUGUGCCAGGGACUGGACAUCGAACAGAAGAGGAC
rnacentral:lncRNA from 9 species